AAUAAACAAAUUUAUGUGUUUUUUGAUAGCUCGUCUUAUUUAAAUUUUUUAUGAUUAAUAUUUUUAUUGUUACUGCAUGAUAAAACAUGAAUAGUAAUUUAUAUGCGACUAAUUUUUUUCAACUUUUAAUAAAAUUUUCGAAUAAAGACGAAUGGUCAAACGCUCGAGCUAGAAAACCCAGAAAUCCUCUUUUU
rnacentral:pre_miRNA from 1 species